ensembl:lincRNA
AAAGACAACUGAGUGCUGACUGCUGGUCCAGAAGAUUCCACUCCCUCCGAACUGACGAGGGGACAAAGGAUUUAUAUGCUGCGCACCUACCUGAGCCCUUAACAGGCUAUGGCUUUGUGAGUCAGUGUCCAAGUGAUGCUUGCCACCUCCCCUGAUGUUACCUGGGCUGCUGUGGUGCCUGCCCUCCCCAUGCACACAUACUUUGCUCCCUCCCAGUCUGGAGCUGCUGAGAGGAACACUGGGUACAGAGUGUGAGAAGGGAUGCUGGGGCAUCCUGCUGUCCGUCAACCCUGCUCUCAUCUGCCCACCUCCCCUGAGUUACCCACCAAGGAUCACGAAGAAUCUCUCUGAGGUGGGUCCUCUUCUCCUUGCCACCCUGGUUUCCCUGGCACUUCAGCAACAUUCCUGGGUCCAGCUGGACGUGUCUAUAUCAAACCUGCCUGAAACCUGGAGGCUAGCAAGACCCUGGAACACACUCUCAGCAAUGGAGUUGGAUGGCCAGGAUUGCUCUUCAUGGGCUCAGCUUGAUUCUUGGCCAGCUGGCCUGCCUGCUGCCCCUCACCUUCUACCCAGAGGGAAAUUCCUCACCCGCUGGACCACACCCGCUCUUGAGGACCUCCCGAGCUCUCUGGGCAGAGCGGAAGCCAGACAGAGACCGGACUCCAAGGCGACAAUCCCAGCCCUGUGUGUGCCAGGAGCCCCCAGGGGCAGGGGCCCAUGCUGCAGGAGGUUAGCUGCCCCCCCCCCCAACACUCUGGAGCCUGGAGUAGGCUGCAGGGACAGAGCUCUUCUCAAACGAGGAGGAAGAGGAGGAGCCCCCGUGGAGUACGUGACUCCUGCUCCGCUGGCUGCACGCUCCAGUUACCAGGACAGAGACCCCUCCCCACGCGUCCCCAGCCUUCCCCUGCUUCCUGCUCUGGCUGCUGGGAGGCCCUGUCACCACACAUGCGCGAGCACGCACUCCGACACACGGGCCCCUCCCAGGCACCCCUGAGAGGACCAGCUGCAGCUGGGGGGUGCACUGAGUGCUGCCAGGUCCUCAGAUCCACAGCCUCCCCCCAUCCUCGCCCCCUACUGCUGAGCUGCUUGGAGGUUUAAAGCAAAACAUGACUGUCUUUCCUGCUGCUCAGUGGCAGCGCCGCUGCCUGAGGGUUAUUUUUAGCAGGGAUGCGAGGAAGGCACAUUUCUCCUUGACUGUCACCAGGGACAACCCUCACCCCCCAGCCAAGUCUCGCCUGGGGAGGCAGGUUCGGAAACCCCCCUCCCAGGAAGGGGAAACUGGUGGGUUUUGUGUUCUUUCAAUUCAUCAGGCCUCGAAGUCAAGCUAGGGGCUGCUCUGAUGGGAAAUUCUAGGUUCCAAAGCCCAUGGUUUCUCCCGCCAUCCCUGGUCUCUGUGUCGCUACAAAUUUGAGGAGCAAGAGGUACGUUGUGUGUAAAGGCAGGUCGCCCAGGCUGCGGGUGUUGGGGUCCUGGGGCAGCCGGUGGUUACAGCCAGGCACUAUAGAUUGCAUGCAGUGCCCGGCUUGUGGGGGAGGGGUUCUCACAGAUGCUGGCUUGUUAAUUCAUUAAACUGCCUGUCUGGACUAUACAUUUUUUUCUGUAUAUGUGUUUUUUAGAAGCUAAUUUUUUUUUUUCACUUUUGAGACAAGGUCUCCUUAAAUGGCUUAGAGCUUCAUUAAUUUGCUGAGACUGGCCUUGAACUUUUGAUCCUCCCAUCUCAGCCUCCCAAACCUUUGGGAUUACAGGCAUGGACCAUCAUGCCUGGCUAGAUGCUAGAAGUUUUUAUUGAGAUAUAAGUAUACAGGGCUGGGGAUGUGGCUCAAGAGGUAGUGCGCUCGCCUGGCAUGCGUGCAGCCCGGGUUCGAUCCUCAGCACCACAUACAAAGAUGUUGUGUCCGCGGAGAACUAAANNNNNNNNNNNNNNNNNNNNNNNNNNNNNNNNNNNNNNNNNNNNNNNNNNNNNNNNNNNNNNNNNNNNNNNNNNNNNNNNNNNNNNNNNNNNNNNNNNNNAAAAAAAUAAAUAUUAAAAAUUCUCUCUCUCACGCUCGCCUGGCAUGCGUGCAGCCCGGGUUCGAUCCUCAGCACCACAUACAAAGAUGUUGUGUCCGCGGAGAACUAAAAUAAAUCAAUAUUUUUAAAAAAAGA